UGCCUCAAAGCAAUGAUUUUGGGUUCUUAUCCCAUUUGGGACCAAAUAUCCACAAGUCUUUCUUCUCACUUCUAAACAUUCUUCAUGCAUCGCUAGCACUUGUAAUCAAUCAAAUUUAUUGUAUUAUAACAUAUUCUAACCCAAAAUAAGUUUAUACAAGCCAUUCACUUCCUCAAAGCAAUGGUUUUGGGUUCUUAUCCCAUUUGAGACCAAAUUUCAACAAGUCUUUCUUCUCACUUCUUAGCAUUCUUCAUGCAUCUCUAGCACUUGUAAUCAAUCAAAUUCAUUGUAUUAUAACAUAUUCUAACCCAAAAUAACUUUAUACAAGCCAUUCACUGCCUCAUAGCAAUGGUUUUGGGUUCUUAUCCCAUUUGAGACCAAAUAUCAACAAUCUUUCUUCUCACUUCUAAACAUUCUUCAUGCAUCUCUAGCACUUGUAAUCAAUCAAAUUCAUUUUAUUAUAACAUAUUCUAACCCAAAAUAACUUUAUACAAGCCAUUCACUACCUCAAAGCAAUUGUUUUGGGUUCUUAUCCCAUUUGAGACCAAAUAUCAACAAGUCUUUCUUCUCACUUCUUAGCAUUCUUCAUGCAUCUCUAGCACUUGUAAUCAAUCAAAUUCAUUGUAUUAUAACAUAUUCUAACCCAAAAUAACUUUAUACAAGCCAUUCACUGCCU
rnacentral:lncRNA from 1 species